rnacentral:rRNA from 2 species
GGACUACUGGGGUUUCUAAUCCCGUUUGCUCCCCCAGCUUUCGUGCCUCAGCGUCAGUAACUUACUAGGAACUCGCUUUCGCCACUGGUCUUCCUUACGAUAUCUACGCAUUUCACUGCUACACCGUAAAUUCCAGUUCCUUCUCAAGUACUCUAGCGAAGCAGUAUCAAAUGCAGUUCCUGGGUUAAGCCCAGGAAUUUCACAUCUAACUUACUCCGCCGCCUACGCACCCUUUACGCCCAAUAAAUCCGAACAACGCUCGGGACCUCUGUAUUACCGCGGCUGCUGGCAC